GAUGAACGCUAGCGACAGGCUUAACACAUGCAAGUCGAGGGACCGGCGCACGGGCGAGUAACACGUAUCCAACCUGCCCUUUACUCGGGGGGAGCCUUUCGAAAGAAAGAUUAAUACCCGCUAUAAAGGAUGGGGAUGCGUUCCAUUAGGUUGUUGAAGAGGUAACGGCGCACAAAGCCUUCGAUGGAUAGGGGUUCUGAGAGGAAGGCCCUGACAUUGGUACUGGGACCCGGCCCAUACUGCUAGGGGAGGCAGCGGUGAGUAAGAUUGGGCAAGGAGCGCGAGCCUGCACCAGCCAAGUAGCGUGAAGGAUGUUGGCUUAUGAGUCUUUAUCUUCUUGGAUAUACGAAUAGGUAUUAUAUGAAUAAGGAACGGCUAACUCCGUGCCAGCAGCCGCGGUAAUAC
rnacentral:rRNA from 1 species